CGCCCAGACUCCUACGGGAGGCAGCAGUGGGGAAUAUUGCACAAUGGGGGGAACCCUGAUGCAGCGACGCCGCGUGGGUGAAGGAGCGUUUCGGCGCGUAAAGCCCUAUCGGCAGGGAAGAAGGAGGACGGUACCUGACUAAGAAGCCCCGGCUAACUACGUGCCAGCAGCCGCGGUAAUACGUAGGGGGCAAGCGUUAUCCGGAUUUAUUGGGGUUAAAGGGUGCGUAGGCGGAUCGUUAAGUCAGUGGGAAAAAUGGGGGGCCCCACCCCCUUCCCGCCAUUGAAACUGGCGCUCUUGAGUGGAAGAGAAGUAUGCGGAAUGCGUGGUGUAGCGGUGAAAUGCAUAGAUAUCACGCAGAACCCCGAUUGCGAAGGCAGCAUGCCGGCUUCCGACUGACGCUGAAGCACGAAAGCGUGGGGAUCGAACAGGAUUAGAUACCCUAGUA
rnacentral:rRNA from 1 species